CCUACGGGAGGCAGCAGUGGGGAAUCUUGCGCAAUGGGCGAAAGCCUGACGCAGCCAUGCCGCGUGAAUGAUGAAGGUCUUAGGAUUGUAAAAUUCUUUCACCGGGGACGAUAAUGACGGUACCCGGAGAAGAAGCCCCGGCUAACUUCGUGCCGGCAGCCGCGGUAAUACGAAGGGGGCUAGCGUUGCUCGGAAUUACUGGGCGUAAAGGGAGCGUAGGCGGAUAGUUUAGUCAGAGGUGAAAGCCCAGGGCUCAACCCUGGAAUUGCCUUUGAUACUGGCUAUCUUGAGUACGGAAGAGGUAUGUGGAACUCCGAGUGUAGAGGUGAAAUUCGUAGAUAUUCGGAAGAACACCAGUGGCGAAGGCGACAUACUGGUCCGUUACUGACGCUGAGGCUCGAAAGCGUGGGGAGCAAACAGGAUUAGAUACCCUGGUAGUCCACGCUGUAAACGAUGAGUGCUAGUUGUCGGCAUGCAUGCAUGUCGGUGACGCAGCUACGACAUUAAGACACUCCGCCGUCGGGGAGGUACGGUCGCGAGAAUUAAACUACAAAUAGAAGUUAGUACGGCGUGAGACGUGCCGACGGACGACGACGAGGGAGGAGG
rnacentral:rRNA from 1 species